AGUGGUUCUCAACCUUCUGGCCCUUUAAAUACAGUUCCUCAUGUUGUGACCCAACCAUAAAAUUAUUUUCAUUGCUACUUCAUAACUGUAAUGUUGCUACUGUUAUGAAUCGUCAUGUAAAUAUCUGAUACGCAGGAUGGUCUUUAGGCGAUCCCUGUGAAAGAGUUGUUCGACCGCCAAAGGGGUCUCAACCCACAGUUGAGAACCGCUGGUCUAGAACAAGCAUGUCAAACUUGAGGCCCACAACAAAUACUCAUUAACAAUUACUCAUUUAUUUCAGCCCUUUGUAUUCAGUGUGUCUCUAUUGAAAUAAACCCACGUUUCUAUAAAAAUUGAAGCUUUUGGUUUUUUGCAGCCCACAUAAACUUAAACCCUGUUUAUUUGGCCCGUGUUAGCCUUUGAUUUGCCCACGGCUGGUCUAGAACCUCAGUUUUCAUGUACAUUAUUGAACUCCAUUUAUUUCUCUUCUCUCUUUUUGGAGUUGCCAGUGUUCUUGUAUCCAGAACACUGUCCACAGCCGACCAAAUCAGCUUUUCUUAGUCAGUUUCCUGCUCAUGUAGAUACGUCAGGGUGCUGCAAAAAUGUCUUUACUGUGUGUUAACUUCCUUCUGUAAAUUAAUUCCCCAAGAGAGCAGAAAUACUGAAAAUCCAUGAUAAAGUAAAGAGAGAGAAAAUGAGAUACUUGGAAAUGUGCAUUAGUGGUACAGUCCAAGAAGUACUAUAUGUCCCACCGAAGUUAUAGGUGCAUUUUAGAUUGGAAAUAUUUGAAAAAAAACAAAACACUACCCUGAGGACUAAUUUAAAUUAAAACAAGAUUUAAUACUUAUUUUUAGAAUUAUUCAAAUUGACAGAUUCCUGCCUGGCUGGUGUGGCUCGGUAAAUGAGAGUCAGCCUGUGAACUAGAAGGUCACCGUUCGAUUCCUGGUCAGGGCAUAUGCCUGGGUUGUGGGCUCAAUCAAUGAUUCUCUCUUUCUUCACUGAUACUUCUAUCUCUCUCUCCCUUCCUCUCUGUAACCAAUAAAAAAUGUAUAUAUAUAUCUAUAUCACCCCAAAAGUUUUCUCAUGCUUUUAUGUAAUCUAUCUUCCACCUGUCCCUUUCGAGGCAUUCCCAGGCAACCACCGAUUGACUUUCUGUCACUAUAGAUUAGUAUUCGUGUUCCCUUGUUGAUUUAGUGCACAUGUUCUAGAAUUUUAUAUAAAUAGUCAUAAAUAGUAUUGCUCCUUUUUUGGUCUGGCUUCAUUCAGCAUAAGAUUUUUGAGGUUAAUUUGUAUUAUGUGUGUAUUUCGUUUAUUCCUUGUUAUUGCUGGGUAAUAUGCCAUUUGUGUGUGUGUGUGUGUGUGUGUGU